rnacentral:rRNA from 1 species
GACGAACGCUGGCGGCGUGCCUAAUACAUGCAAGUCGAGCGGACGGAUGGGAGCUUGCUCCCAGACCGUCAGCGGCGGACGGGUGAGUAACACGUGGGCAACCUGCCUGUAAGACUGGGAUAACUCCGGGAAACCGGGGCUAAUACCGGAUAACUCUUUCCCUCACAUGAGGGAAAGCUGAAAGAUGGCAUCUCGCUAUCACUUACAGAUGGGCCCGCGGCGCAUUAGCUAGUUGGUGAGGUAACGGCUCACCAAGGCGACGAUGCGUAGCCGACCUGAGAGGGUGAUCGGCCACACUGGGACUGAGACACGGCCCAGACUCCUACGGGAGGCAGCAGUAGGGAAUCUUACGCAAUGGACGAAAGUCUGACGGAGCAACGCCGCGUGAGUGAUGAAGGUUUUCGGAUCGUAAAACUCUGUUGUCAGGGAAGAACAAGUACCGGAGUAACUGCCGGUACCUUGACGGUACCUGACCAGAAAGCCACGGCUAACUACGUG